AGCAUAUCAAUAAGCGGAGGAAAAGAAACCAACAGGGAUUGCCCUAGUAACGGCGAGUGAAGCGGCAACAGCUCAAAUUUGAAAUCUGGCCCUCGUGGUCCGAAUUGUAAUUUGUAGAGGAUGCUUUUGGUGUGGUGCCUUCUGAGUUCCCUGGAACGGGACGCCAGAGAGGGUGAGAGCCCCGUACGGUUGGACACCUAUCCUAUAUAUAGCUCCUUCGACGAGUCGAGUAGUUUGGGAAUGCUGCUCUAAAUGGGAGGUAAAUUUCUUCUAAAGCUAAAUACCGGCCAGAGACCGAUAGCGCACAAGUAGAGUGAUCGAAAGAUGAAAAGCACUUUGAAAAGAGGGUUAAAUAGCACGUGAAAUUGUUGAAAGGGAAGCGUUUGCGACCAGACCUUUUCCUGGCGGAUCAUCCGGUGUUCUCACCGGUGCACUUCGCUUGGUUUAGGCCAGCAUCGGUUUUCUUAGGGGGAUAAAGGCCUGGGGCACGUAGCUCUUCCGGGAGUGUUAUAGCCCCUAGCGUAAUGCCCUUACGGGGACCGAGGACCGCGCUUCGGCAAGGAUGCUGGCGUAAUGGUCGUCAACGACCCGUCUUGAAACACGGACCAAGGAGUCGAACAUUUGUGCGAGUGUUUGGGUGUUAAACCCUCACGCGUAAUGAAAGUGAACGGAGGUGAGAGCCCUUCGGGGUGCAUCAUCGACCGAUCCUGAUGUCUUCGGAUGGAUUUGAGUAAGAGCAUAACUGUUCGGACCCGAAAGAUGGUGAACUAUGCGUGGAUAGGGUGAAGCCAGAGGAAACUCUGGUGGAGGCUCGCAGCGGUUCUGACGUGCAAAUCGAUCGUCAAAUCUGCGCAUGGGGGCGAAAGACUUAUCGAACCAUCUAGUAGCUGGUUACCGCCGA
rnacentral:rRNA from 1 species